CCUACGGGUGGCUGCAGUAACGAAUCUUCCGCAAUGCACGAAAGUGUGACGGAGCGACGCCGCGUGUGGGACGAAGUUCUUCGGAAUGUAAACCACUGUCAGGAGAAAGAAAGUUCUGAUCUACUCCAGAGGAAGGGACGGCUAACUCUGUGCCAGCAGCCGCGGUAAGACAGAGGUCCCGAGCGUUAGACGGAAUCACUGGGCUUAAAGCGUGUGUAGGCGGAAGGGUAAGUACCUUGUGAAAUCCCACGGCUCAACCGUGGAACUGCUUGGUA
rnacentral:rRNA from 1 species